CUCUGUUCACGGCCGCCGGCGGCUGCGAGAGAGAGAGAGAGAGAGGCGAAGGCGUCAUGGCAAUCAAGCCAGCCUUGGCCGAGGCCGCACCGGUGUGCGACGCGUGGACGGGGCCUGCGCUCUGCCCCCACGCCAUCUUCCCCCAAAUCUCGCGCAGCAUCAGCUGAGGAUCUCUGAUGUGGCUCCACUCCGCCGUCGCUUCCAGCGCGGUGGAUCUGUGUGAAGCUCGCAGUAGCAUCGUGUCCAGAGGUCCGGCGAGCGCGGAGGUCCGGCGGGCAACGGGAUGGCCCCAGGUCGGGGCUGCCGAGGUCCUUCGCUGCCUCCGUGCCUGCAGUGAUGGGCGCGUAGUUGCGGCACGCCAGGCACAGCGCGCAAGCCCCGUUAGCGGCCGUGAUUCCAGCAGGGACUAGCGGUCAGUUUCCUCCCUCUCCUCCCUUUUACCGUCCUUGAAUCAAGCUGUGCUAGCUAGUGCCGUGAUUCCAGCAGGGACUAGGCGGUCAGUUAACUAAGUGUGAGAGUGCAUGGGAUAGAUCUAUGUGCCUAUGCUCCUUUUGUACUGAUAUCGCAAGAAGACAAGAAGCGUCUCACAGUAGAACAGGUUUCCGAUUCCUUUUUUGUUCCACGUAGCCGCGAUUAGAAUAUUUUCCGGUUAGAAUAUUUUCUUGAUGCUUAGGAAAGUUUGUCAAUGUCAGAAUUUACUUGGCGGUAACACCGUGACCGUCAAGAAGAUUAUUCUUAGUGGCCAGCUGCUAAGGUAAUCAGAUUUUACUGGUGCUCUAUUCUUGGUUGGUGGAUUUUGCUUGAUGGUCGGCCGCUAAGAAUCAUUUACUUGGUGGUUUCUGUGCUUUUCUUAGAUAAUUUCAGUUUCUGGUAGCGCGCGUCCAUGAAUAACCGCGGGUUAGUCAAGGCGUAAACAAAGCGUGUCCUGGUCCACCAGAGCCAUCAGAUCACGUUGUCACCAUUGACGCUGGCAAGUCUUGUUACGACCCAAAACUUUUUAACAUGAUAAAAAAUUAAGCAACAUCAUCAUGAGCAUCAUUCAAGCAUAAUGGAGCAUCAUGUGCAUAUGAUUGAUUGAAAGAAUUGAAUUUCUUACUUUGUUUAAAGAGAGAAGGGUUGUUGAGGAAGUUCAAAUUUUGUUAAGUAAUUAUGCCCCCAAAAAUUUUAUUCAAAUACUAGAUUUCAAAUGGUGAAUUUUGAAUAUUUUUUGAGAAUUUUUGGAUGUUUAACCCGAUCCAUAAAAUUUUUGUAAAAUUUGAAAACAACAGUUUUGCUCGAAUUUUUAUAAGCAAUACUUAAUAGUUUUUUUUUGAGUCUUUGUUGUUGCAUUAUGUUCUUGGUGAUUUAUUCUUGCUUCAGUAAAUUUUUGAUGAUUUUUGGAGCUCGGGAAGUACGAGAUUUUGAAUUUAGAAUUUGAAUCGCUGAUUUUCUUUAUUUCCUUUCUCACCCAGGCCCACCCGUCAGCCCCUCUCUCUCCCCGCGUGACGCAGCCUGGCGUGGCCGGUUGCCCAGCCGUGGCAGCGUCGCCACGCCGUCGGCCGCUGGCUGGUCCAGUGUGGCCGUGGGGCGACGCCACCCGGUGCCCGCGCCCUCUUCUUCCCCUUCUCUCUCCCUCGGGCGCAUUUCUUCCUCCUCGUGAAAACCCUAGCCCCGCCUGACCGCCGCCGCUUCUUCCUCCUCCUGUCCGCCGUCGCCGCGAAUCUCCGCUCGAUUCCGCACACGCACAGCACCCAUUGCCCCUCCUCGCUCGGCCUCGGCCCUUAAUCGCCUCCCUCCUCCCUUGCAGCUGCUUCCCAACGCGCGCCUCCGUCUGCAGCCGCCGCCCUCCGCCGCGUCGCCGCCCGUCCGUGCCGCAGAUGGCUCCCAAGUUGAUCAUGGCGACUCGCGCCCCGGAGACGAUUGGAUUCCCGGCUCUCCUUAAUGAGAUGUUGAGGCGGGCGUACUGCACUUUUCAACCCGAGUAUGCGGUUUAUGCCCUUGGUCAUGGAGUCGGCUUGGUGGAUUACAUGGCGACUCUCCACCUUGAGGCAAGGAUGGUGGUUGGAGCAGAGACGUAUGACUUCUAAGCUUGGGGUACCUCGGUGGAGAUGGCUAACCACAUUCUACUAAGGACGAAUCAGGGAGUAAACCCUAAUAGGAGGAAAAAUUAGGGUUAUGCGCUCAUACCUGCCUGCGUGGAUGGCUGCGGCUGCCGCGCGACGGCUACGUAGGACUCGCGUCACCGGCCGACGAGCUCGCUCCCGCGCCGCGGACUGGUACUGAAGGUACCGCGCCGCCGCGUGGUAAUUCGCGAGACAGAAUGUGCUCUAGAUUUCGUUUUGGCAGAGUUCAAAUGGGUUGGGAACGGGCCUCUCAGUGUGCAGACCAGAAUAACUGAGUAUUGAGCCGAGAAUAACCGAGUUGGCGCAUUAGAAUAACUGAGUUAUUGGAACGGAAUAACUGAGUGAUUGGCGACAGAGCAACUGAGUGUGCAGACCAGAAUAACUGAGUUGGCACAUUAGAAUAACUGAGUUAUUAGGACCAGAAUAACUGAGAUCUUAGAAUAGCACAUCCUGUAUCUUGGAAAAGCACUUUCUGUAUCUUGGAAAAGCACUUCCUGUAUCUUGGAAAAGCACUUCCUAUAUCUUGGAAAAGCACAUCCUGUAUCUUGCAAUAGCACAUCCUGUAUCUUGCAAUAUCACAUCCUUAACUCUAAAGUAUGCAGUAGCACGUCCGGAUUUAUGAAAUAUCACAUCUGUAUCUAGCAAUAGCACGCGGUGUGGGCACGAUUUCCCUACCAUUUGAUUUGUACAGCAAGCACGCCCACUAUCUUGGAAUAGCACAUCCAGUAUCUUGGAAUAGCACAUCCUGUAUCUUGGAAUAGCACAUCCUGUAUGCUAUUACUACUAUUUCCUGCAGUAAAAUCUAAAGUAUCUUGGCCACGUAAGCCAAGCAGGGGACCUGCAAUAGUAAAAACUAGGAGUUGGUGGAAGGUAUGUCAAUUGUGAGGUUAGCAAGAAGUUCUUUGUGGCCAUGUUCUGUGGGAUGACUCCUGUCCAGCGAGAGGGGAACGCAAACAGGCGUCGAGCACAUACUGUAUCUAGGAAUAGAACAACUACAAUGCUACGUGAUAAUAACGGUACGUGGGAAUGAACGUAAACCAUAGCAUAGCAUUGCCAAACGUGAUAAUAACGGUAUGUGGGAAUGAACGUAAACCAUAGCAUAGCAUUGCCAACUACAGAUCGGUACAUGGGACGGCGGUUCAGUGGGAAUCGCCAACUGGACUGGCGGUACGUUUGCGUGCUAUUUGGGGGUACUGGACGUGCUAUUCCUUUAAAGGUCAUUGUCGCCGGUUAAGGCACUGUCGCCGGUUAAGGUCAUUCAGGCAAAUUACUGAGUACAUCCAGUCAUUUGUUAAAUUUGAACAAACUCAGUCAUUCUAUCUUAGACGCGUUUAGCAUCAGGGCUGCCGUUACGGCAUUUAGCAGGCUAUAGCCGGCUAUUUAAAACUUUGACUCUGAUGAAAGAAUCUGGAGUUUGUUUGAAAAAAAAUGGCAAAGCUGGAUGGAUGGAAAAAAGACAGAAAAGGGAGGUUAAGCAGACCAUGAUGUCGAAGACAUCCUCGUUGCCGUUCACCGCCGGCCGGUCGGGCGGUCAGGCGCGGUAGAGAAUUUGGUACCGAUUAGAUGAAUUAGAAAUAAAAAAACGACAUUAUAAGCCCACAAAGGCUUGAUGGUCCUUGGCUAGGCCGCGCUAAGCGCACUUCCUCCGUUCUGCAAUCUAUGACCGACAAGCCCGCUUCCUCCGAUCUUGGCUGGGCUGAACCUAAGCCGCUAGGCCGCGCUAAGGCCGCUUCCUCCGUUCUGCAAUCUAUGAUCGACAAGCCCUCUUCCUCCGAUCUUGGCUGUGCUGAACCUAAGCCGCUAGGCCGCGCUAAGCCCGCUUCCUCCGUUCUGCAAUCUAUGACCGACAAGCCCGCUUCCUCCGAUCUUGGCUGGGUCGAACCUAAGCCGCUAGGCUGCGCUAAGCCCGCUUUCUCCGUUCUGCAAUCUAUGACCGACAAGCCCGCUUCCUCCGAUCUGCAGCCCCCAGCCUAGCUGCCGUCGCCGUCGUGUGCGCCGCCCAGGGCAUCUCCUUUCCGGCGAGUUCAAGCUCCACCGCAUCCUAGCCGCCGCCGCCGCGCGGUCUUCUCUGGCCCCAGCGUCUCCACCACGCCCUAGCUUCUGUGGUUCCAGCGUUAAAAUGGCAACUGCACAAGCUUUGUUCAAAGAGGUGCUAUCAUUUCCAGUAGAUGAUAUUUUGAAGCGGAAGCAGUCACAUUUCAAGGUAUGAGUCUCUCCCAACAGGUAACAUUCCUUAUUUUGCACCUGAAACGUCUCCAUUUCAAGGUUUCAUGUUGUUACAGGUUGAGACGAUUCCCAAUGAAUUUGCCACCCGUCUGGCAUAUACAGAAGCAUUUCGCAAUCCAAAAUUAGAAGAGAUCUGGCAUCAUAUUGACUCUAGCAUGGAUACCAUAUCCAGAGGCCUAGAUGUUGUUUCCUAUAAGUGCUCCAAGAACCGUAGAGGGUUAAAUGAGUACAACAUCAAGCUCAAUUUAGAGAAUGUAGAGAAUAUGCCAAGAAAAGGAGACCUCAUGUUAUUUCUAGAAAGGGGAUUGGAAUCAAGAGACCAAAUUAUCAAGGCUGGCUCCUUUUGUACCAUCAUAGUGGUUAUAGACAACACUAGAACAUAUAACCAUACAACUUCAAUGCUUGUCUGGAUGUCACGGUCACCUUAUGGAGGCAGUUUAAAUGACCAACGUUCUUACCAAGUUAUGAGCAUGUGCAAUCUGACAACUUUUGCAUGUAGUUGGGAAGUUAUGACGAGAGGUUGCCAAGACAAUCCAGAAAUAAUCAAUCUCAUGUUGACUAAAAAUAAGGAGAAUGUGGAUAAUAUUCUGCUGGCUGAUGGAAAAUAUGGACAAUUCACAGGUAAGGAUUUUGGAUUGAACAAAUCACAGAAAGAUGCAGUGGCAAGUUGCAUUUCAGCCUCUGAAUGUCCAAAUAAAUUAUCUGUACGUCUAAUUUGGGGCCCACCAGGCACAGGUAAAACUAAAACAGCUUCAGUGGUUCUGCUUAUGCUUCUAAAGAAUCUAAGCACACGUAGAACUCUUGUAUGUGCUCCAACCAACACAGCUCUCACACAAUUGGCUUCCGUCUUGUUUCUCUAGUUGAAGAGUCCACCAAAACCAGUCAUUUACUUAAAGACAUCAUUAUAUUUGGGAGUGAGAAGCUUAUGAACAAAGCAAAUGACCUGUCAAAAAUUUCAUUGGAUUGUCGAAUAAGAGAAAGAUAUUCGAGAACCAGAGUUUUGAACGAUGCAAAACUUGUAUUUUGCACUCCUUGUAGUUCAUUUAGGUUUGUAGGAAAUCAGCGAUUUGACACCUUGGUUAUUGAUGAGGCCGCAAACCUAAAAGAAUGUGAAUCAUUGAUCCCUCUCUCUAUUGGUGGGAUAAAACACGUGGUGCUUAUGGGGGAUGACAAGCAGCUACAAUCAGUGGUAAAGAGCCCGAUUGCUAAAGAUGCUAAGUAUGGACGAAGCCUGUUUGAGAGAUUGAGUGAAAUCGGUCACCACAAGCAGAUGCUUGAUGAGCAAUAUAGAAUGUACCCCUGCAUCAGCAAGUUCCCAAAUGGCAAUUUUUAUGGUGGAAAAAUUAAAGAUGGCACUAAGCCUUAUGGAAACUUCGACAUUUACUUGGAUCUAUUUUUCAGAAUUACUCAUUCAUGUUGAAGGCGGUACAGAAAAACAUGUUUGUACGAGUUUUGUAAAUAAGAUUGAAGCUGAAAAGAUCGUUGAUAAACUUGCUGAA